rnacentral:rRNA from 1 species
GUGCCAGCAGCCGCGGUAAUUCCAGCUCCAAUAGCGUAUAUUAAAGUUGUUGCGGUAAAAAAGCUCGUAGUUGGAUUUCUGUUGAGAGCGACCGGUCCAUACCACGUAUGCGUAUCUGGCUUGCUCUCGGCAUCCUCUCGAUAGACGUUGCUGCGCUUGAUUGCGUGGCGCGGAUCUCGGGACUUUUACUUUGAGGAAAUUAGAGUGUUCACGGCAGGCUUUCGCCAGAAUACAUUAGCAUGGAAUAAUACUAUAGGAUCUUGGUUCUAUUUUGUUGGUUUCUAGAAUUGAGAUAAUGAUUAAUAGGGACAAUUGGGGGCAUUCGUAUCAACACGUCAGAGGUGGAAUUCUUGGAUUGUGUUGCGACGAACUACUGCGAAAGCAUUUGCCAAGGAUGUUUUCAUUGAUCAAGAACGAAAGUAAGGGGAUCGAAGACGAUUAGAUACCGUCGUAGUCUUUACCAUAAACUAUGCCGACUAGAGAUGGGACAUCGUUCAUUUACGACUUGUUCCGCACCUUAUGAGAUAUCAAAGUCUUUGGGUUCCGGGGGGAGUAUGGUCGCAAGACUGAAACUUAAAGGAAUUGACGGAAGGGCACCACCAGGAGUGGAGCCUGCGGCUUAAUUUGACUCAACACGGGGAAACUCACCAGGUCCAGACAUAAUAAGGAUUGACAGAUUGAUAGCUCUUUCUUGAUUUUAUGGGUGGUGGUGCAUGGCCGUUCUUAGUUCGUGGAGUGAUUUGUCUGCUUAAUUGCGUUAACGAACGAGACCUUAACCUGCUAAAUAGGAGCGCCUAUCUUCGGAUAAGCGUCUUUCUUCUUAGAGGGACUUUAUGCGUUUCAGCAUGAGGAAGUUUGAGGCUAAAACAGG